rnacentral:rRNA from 1 species
GAUGUCGAAGGCAAUCCCUCGGACCUGUAUUCCCGUUCAUGCUCGAAAGCGGGGGAGCAAACAGGUUUUGAUCCCCUGGUGUCCACGCCCUAAUGGACGUCAGACUGGUUUUGGGGAGGGUUUCUUCUCAAUAACUACGCUACCCUAUAAAGAUUUGCAGCUUGGGGAGUACGGCUGCAAGGUCGAAACUCAAACGAAAUCACGGGGANGCGUACAAGCGGUGGAUGAUGGGUUUAAUUCGAUGCUACGAAAAAACCCCUUACAUACCCUUAACACUCAGAGAUCCCGCAGAGAUGAGGGAGUGCUUGAAAGAGAAUCUGAACACAGGUGCUGCAAGGCCGUUGUCAGCUUUUGUCGUGAGAUGUUGGGAUAAGCACCGCAACGAGCGCAACCCUUCUCAUUAGUUGGUACGAAAGGGCACUCCAUGAGACUGCCGUUGACAAUCCGGAGGAAGGGGGGAUGACGUCAGGUCAUCAUGGCCGGAAUGGGCAGGGCUACUCAUGUUAUACAAUGGCCGGCGCAGAGGGCUGCCAACCCCCCUUGGGGAGCUAAUCCCAGAAAUCCGGUUGUACUCCGGAUAGGAGUUUUCAACUCGACCGCAUGAAGUAGGAAUCACUUGUAAUCGGGGAUCAGCAGGCAGCGGUGAAGAUUCUCCCGGGUUAUUGUACACACCGCAGGUCACACCAUCGUAUCCGCGCUCCCACCGAAGGGGUUAGUCAACCGCAAGGAGGGGGAUUACCACGGCAGGCUUCGUGACUGG